rnacentral:rRNA from 1 species
AAUCAACGCUGGCGGCGUGCCUAACACAUGCAAGUCGAACGCGAAAGCCCCGCAAGGGGUAAGUAGAGUGGCAAACGGGUGAGUAACACGUGGGUGACCUGCCUCAGAGUGGGGGAUAAC